rnacentral:rRNA from 1 species
UGCCCUUGAGGCGUGGCUUCCGGAGCUAACGCGUUAAGUCGACCGCCUGGGGAGUACGGCCGCAAGGUUAAAACUCAAAUGAAUUGACGGGGGCCCGCACAAGCGGUGGAGCAUGUGGUUUAAUUCGAUGCAACGCGAAGAACCUUACCUACUCUUGACAUCCAGAGAACUUACCAGAGAUGCUUUGGUGCCUUCGGGAACUCUGAGACAGGUGCUGCAUGGCUGUCGUCAGCUCGUGUUGUGAAAUGUUGGGUUAAGUCCCGCAACGAGCGCAACCCUUAUCCUUUGUUGCCAGCGGUCCGGCCGGGAACUCAAAGGAGACUGCCAGUGAUAAACUGGAGGAAGGUGGGGAUGACGUCAAGUCAUCAUGGCCCUUACGAGUAGGGCUACACACGUGCUACAAUGGCGCAUACAAAGAGAAGCGACCUCGCGAGAGCAAGCGGACCUCAUAAAGUGCGUCGUAGUCCGGAUUGGAGUCUGCAACUCGACUCCAUGAAGUCGGAAUCGCUAGUAAUCGUAGAUCAGAAUGCUACGGUGAAUACGUUCCCGGGCCUUGUACACACCGCCCGUCACACCAUGGGAGUGGGUUGCAAAAGAAGUAGGUAGCUUAACCUUCGGGAGGGCGCUUACCACUUUGUGAUUCAUGACUGGGGUGAAGUCGUAACAAGGUAACCAA